ACCCAAAACGUAAAGUGGGUGUAACCCAAACGGUGACACGAACGUCAUAGUGACCAACCUGAUAAAUUCAUAUCUUGAGCUUUAUCGCGUGACAUUCUAUGUUGUAUCUGCAGGGAGAAGCUGUCAUACAUUCUCAGAUUUACUUCAUUGAACAGAAAUAAAGAGGAAAAUGGCCUCUGUAAUGUUUCUCUCGGUUUUCGUCAUACUCCUUUGCCUUCAAACAGCUGUAAGCCAAAUGAAUACUACUUCAGCACCAACUAAGAGUGGGACGGGAACUACCAAUGAAGCUACCGACCCUAGUCAUACGACAACUGCCAGUCCAACUACUGCUUCUAGUCCGACACCACCUGCAAAUAGUUCUAAGACAUCACUGAAACCGUUUCCAUCUAGUACUUCUGUAUUCAUCACAACGAGUGUUCACCCAAACACCACUGAUUCUGGUAGUGGGGUUAAUGUCUUAUCCAUGACAUUAUUGUUUGUAUCCAUUGCCUCAUCUUUCGUUUAAUACAAAGUUAAUCAAUGUAAGCCUGCUUCAUGGGUUUUCUUAACGUUUCUCGUUUUAAACAUUUGUUUUCUGAUUAACUUUAAUUUACAUUUCUUUUGUCCUCUUUUAUACCUGUGUAAUGUCCUUCAAUCAUCUCAUGUGUUAGUAUGUAUGUUUAACGUUCAACAUAUGAUAAAUCAUGUGGCGGGAGAGCUGUCCCAGUGACUUUAUUAACAGUAUCUGCUAUCUGAUAACGGACGAAGACUUUAUCAUUUGUCAUCCCCAGUGUGCUGUUAGGUUAUCUGUUGUUACUGAAAUACUGAUAGUAUAUCCACUAGUACUACCGGGUAGAUAUGGGAAGAUAGUGGUAGACAGAUACAAAUGUAUGGUACAUCACGAUAAAUACCCAACAUAAUCGAGAUUUUCUGUCUAUAAUGGUCAUUGUGAACUUCACUUGAUAAUAGAUACACAAAGUAUACACCACAUACUAGCAGCUAAAUGAGUAUGAUUUGUCCUUGAUAGAAAGUUAAUGUAUCUGGUUUGGAAAUUUUCUUUUGUGUUCCUACAUCCUGUACUUGUAUUGAAGAAUGGAGCUGUGCUUCCUCCUAAUCAACUUAUAUUUUGUCAUGGUGUAUACAAUAUGUUAUCAGUAGCGACAUACCGCAUGCGUCAUUCUCUUUUUACAUGUUCACUUACACAAUGUAUAUUAUAUUAUAUUAAAAGUAGUAAUUGUUGAAUUGCUUAAACCAUAUAAAGUUUGAUAACAAAGUGUUAUUUGUCCUUCUACGAUUAGUAUAUUUGUGGUGGAAUGCUUUGCUUUUGUAUGUGUAUCCAUCAUUAAACAAUUUCAUUUACUUUCAAUCAUCAUUACAGACGUACAGUUAAACCUCUUUAUUUCGAAGUCUUUUUUCGACACAUCCCAUGUAAUCAAUGAAAUUGGGUAUAAUAUAAACAAUUCUACUGUCGAAGCUGAAUUGUUAUUUCGUGUUAAGCAGGGACUUCGAGUUAUCAGAUUUCAAAGUAACGAAGUUUGACUAUUUAUCAUUAGAAGGAUAAUAUGUGAUUUGA